GCCUCCGUAGCUCAGCGGUAGAGCGGCUGCCUCGUAAGCAGCAGGUCGUGAGUUCAAAUCUCAUCGGGGGCU
rnacentral:tRNA from 1 species